rnacentral:pre_miRNA from 1 species
UGCAUACUCCCUCCGUCCGAAAAAGCUUGUCCCUCAGAUGGAUGUAUCUAGCACUAUGCUAGAUACAUCCAUCUGAGGGACAAGCUUUUUCGGACGGAGGGAGUACUUC